AUCAAAAGAAGCCUUCCCAGAGAGCUGAUCUACAUAAAGCAGAGCAAGAGAAAGAUCACGACAGCACGAAGCAGCAGAGAGCCCUGCACAUAGUGAAUGGUAAUGUGGGCACCAUGCGGAGAAUACCAAGGCUGUUCAUCACCUGUACAGCUGGGAAGCACAAGCCUUAAUGUCAGGCACCUAGAAAGCUCCUUCAGAAGCAUAAGGAACACGGGAAAAAACUAUGGAUAUGGCCAAAGAAGUAGCUCACAACUGCAAGGUGCCAGGACACAGACUCCGGUGCUUCCUGAGAAACAGCUUGUGGGGGUAGCUGGGUCUCCUACAGGCAGAGAAGAAACCGAGGUCAAAGCCCUGUGAACCUGUCACAGCUGUGGGGACUGAGCUGGAACUGCAUUCCCGGAUUUGGUGACUAGAGAGGCAGCCCCAGGGAACGCCUGGACUUUUGGAUCAACAAAACUAAAUCUGAAUUCUGGCUCUGCUGGUCAGGAACUGUCCAUGAGCAAGGUAUGAAUUUUCUAUCUCAAUCAGGGUUGAGAUGAUAAAACCUAUUUCCAAGACAAAAGUAACAUGAAGAACAUAAGAAAAAUGCAAUAGAAACUCUGUAAGUUGACCACCCAAGGGACUGGAACAAAUUGGUCAACGUACAGAGGUG